ACCUGGCGGCGGCCUACACAUGCNAGUCGAGCGGAUGAGAAGAGCUUGCUCUUCGAUUCAGCGGCGGACGGGUGAGUAAUGCCUAGGAAUCUGCCUGGUAGUGGGGGACAACGUUUCGAAAGGAACGCUAAUACCGCAUACGUCCUACGGGAGAAAGCAGGGGACCUUCGGGCCUUGCGCUAUCAGAUGAGCCUAGGUCGGAUUAGCUAGUUGGUGGGGUAAUGGCUCACCAAGGCGACGAUCCGUAACUGGUCUGAGAGGAUGAUCAGUCGCACUGGAACUGAGACACGGUCCAGACUCCUACGGGAGGCAGCAGUGGGGAAUAUUGGACAAUGGGCGAAAGCCUGAUCCAGCCAUGCCGCGUGUGUGAAGAAGGUCUUCGGAUUGUAAAGCACUUUAAGUUGGGAGGAAGGGCAGUAAGCGAAUACCUUGCUGUUUUGACGUUACCGACAGAAUAAGCACCGGCUAACUCUGUGCCAGCAGCCGCGGUAAU
rnacentral:rRNA from 1 species